rnacentral:sRNA from 1 species
GAUGAUCGGCCAGAAGACGCUCUACUCCUUUUUCUCCCCCAGCCCCGCCAGGAAGCGACACGCCCCCAGCCCCGAGCCGGCCGUCCAGGGGACCGGCGUGGCUGGGGUGCCUGAGGAAAGCGGAGAUGCGGCGGCCAUCCCAGCCAAGAAGGCCCCGGCUGGGCAGGAGGAGCCUGGGACGCCGCCCUCCUCGCCGCUGAGUGCCGAGCAGUUGGACCGGAUCCAGAGGAACAAGGCCGCGGCCCUGCUCAGACUCGCGGCCCGCAACGUGCCCGUGGGCUUUGGAGAGAGCUGGAAGAAGCACCUCAGCGGGGAGUUCGGGAAACCGUAUUUUAUCAAGCUAAUGGGAUUUGUUGCAGAAGAAAGAAAGCAUUACACUGUUUAUCCACCCCCACACCAAGUCUUCACCUGGACCCAGAUGUGUGACAUAAAAGAUGUAAGUACAACUUGUUGAUAAUUUUUAUUGGGGAGAAGGAGUCAAAUAGUAAUUUUAAAUUA